ACCUCUCUCUUCUUUUCAAUUUUCGAGCGCUUUUUGCCUCCUCCUUUCUCGAGUCGAGAAGAGGAAACGCAGAUACCUUCUCUCUCCUUCUCCGGCACGCUCUCUCCUUCUCCGGCACGCCCGACUGCCUCCACCUCCACCUCCGCCUCGCCAUGCCCCUUCCCCUUCCCCAAAGCCCCCGUCGGUCGCAGGUGCUGGUCAGAUCUGUGUCUGGCACGUCGCCUCCUUGAAGACCCCCGCUGGGUCGCAGCUGCUGGAUCCCGAGCGCCCUUUGCCUCCGCCGUCACCUCCGGAGUCUCAUCGGCGGCUACAAUUCGUCAGCUCACUCCUCUCUCCCAUCCGCGCUCGCGCUGAUCUCUUGGAAACCUGGUGGCGUCUAGCCCGCCGCUCUUCUGUGCCCCCUCUCUGCAGCAUCUUGCCAUUUCCAGCCGUCAGAACAUCAACAAGAGCGUCUUGGGGCUGCCCGCGUGUGACCCAGCGACAGAAAUGAUGAGGAAGGAGAAAACGCGCAACAAGCUCGCUAUCUCUGGUCUUGCUCGUGUGUACGGCUGUUCUCUGGUUCUUUUCCAAUCCAGGUUCAAGAAAACUAGGAAACUUCACACACCCAUUGAAGCUGAGCAACAGAGCAAGCCAUUACACGAGGCUCUGACCUUGACUCUAUCAUUGAAGAAAUCCAUGGAAAAUUCAGAAACACCCCUCGACUUAUCGACGCAGAUGAAGAUGGGCACUUCUUCGAUGCACAUGUAAAUCGUGCUACACGUCCAUGGCCUCCACUUCCUCCAUCUCUCUCGCCUAUCGGAUUCAUUUUUCUUCGGCAUUGCAGUUAACCCUGCGGGUCGGAGCCGUGGACCGGAGCUCGAAUUCUUUAGCGUGCUGUGCUCCGGCUACUGCGCGCGAGGCGCUUUGCGUGCACGGACAGGGCCUCCGUCGCAGAAUAAACAGAGGUUUUUCAGGUAUGGAGGCUUGGUGAUAAUGGCUGCUUUGGCUUCUAAUUCCAGCCAGAGUCGGAGAGCAUAUCGGGAGGCCGAGGGGAAGAGUUCUUUGCUGGCCGUUGUGGCUCCUGUGAAGCAGGUCGCGUCCUUUGCCGUUCCCGCCGGAGUAUUUGUGGCCGUGACUUUUGGUAUGAAAGUUUUAACGUUAUUGUUGAUUUGCUGUGAGGAAGAGAGUAGGGGUGAUUAUUGACUAUGAUGAGAAGCUUUUCCUAAUUGGAACCGAUUAGAACGUGGUUGUUUAUGGUUUGGCAUUGCACCUUCUAUUGUCAAGAGGUUGUUUAAGGAUUAUUUUUUCUGGCAGAGAGUUUGGGUUACAAUAGUGUAAUUUGAGCAAGCCACCAGUAUAUCUUUCAGAUGUUCUGAUGAGAUUUAUCGACUUUGGUGUGUUAAUGUUAAACCAUGCCUGAUGGAUCAAUUUUAGUGUUUUCAUUACUCGAUUAUCGCUUAUUUUUGCAAAUAACAACACAAUUGUUCACAUUGGCGCUCUAGUACAUGUGUUUCUUUGCCUCUUAUGAUUUGAAAUUUCUUGUUUUCGAAGCAGCUCUUUAGUGACAUGUUCUUGUUGAUAGAGUCUGUGCGAUGUAUUGGUGAAUAAUACUGCUAUCCAGAAGCUCCUACUGAAAAGUACUGAAAAGUCUCGACUGCAACAUGUUUACCAAGCACUGAAGUUUGGAUGAAGUUUAAGCCUUCCAAAUAGUGACAGCAACAGCUAUGGUGGUGCACGAGGGGCCAAUGCUUUGGCUAAAGGGUUGGAGGGAAACAAGUCAUUGAGGGUAAACAACUCAUUUUUUUCCAAUUUUCUUUCUUAAGGAUAAAUAGCUCGAAUUUUGGUUGGGAAUUCUGUCAUUAGAAUGUAGUGCAUGCUCCUGUCAACAAGUUCUAUAGUUAUAUAUAUUGUGCUAACCAUGUGGGCUCCAUAGAACAGAUAAAGAUGGACAACAUUUCAACUCUGAAGGAGUAAAAUUUUUUCGUCUCUGGACAACAACCAGCAGAGUUGUUGAAGAAAAACUCAACCUCGCAGGUUCUAGAGCGAUUUCAGAGAAGGUAUUGAAGCUGCGCCAAGGAAGCACGCAGCACCAGCUGCGUGCCCAUUUAAUAUGUGGGCACAAGAAACUUUUGGGGCAUAAUCAUGUUAUUUUGAAGGAUUUAGUUAUUGAUAUGUGGAUGCAGGAAACUUUCGGCAUAUACGGUUGCUUAUUCAAUGCUGUUCUAUGGGAGAGCAGACCAUUAUCUUUCUAAGUGACAUUAAAAACUUACUCCCCAACUUUGUUAGGUGGGAGAGCUGGUCUAUAGGUGGUUGGUUUGUCCUCAUGUUAUGCUUGCAUCUUUUACUGAUAGAAUGUGUAUAGUCCAUAUUAUGUUACAAUAAAGUAUGGAAACUCACACCAAGUUGUUGAACCAUUGUGUGCGAGAAACCUGGUAUUAUUGCAUUUUGAUCCUCUCUUAAUUUUGUACCUAGGCAGUUUCAAUGGUGAUGUUCUCGACAUUUGAGCAUUCAGUGGAUUUCCUUUAUGGUGUUAUUAGAAGAAGAAAGGAGGAUUGCUCAAAAUUUUAACAACUCGGGGUAACAUGCUUAGCUGGAUAUGCUGCUGGAUCUGUUGGUAGCUUCAUAUCAAAUCCUGCCAACAAUAUUGUUGCUUUCAUCAACAACCAAAAAGCUGACAGUCUCAUGCCGGCAAUCAGGAAUAUCGGGGUUGCGAAUCUGUUUAUGAGGAGCCUUCCCAUUAGAAUUAUACUCAUUGGACCUGUUGUAACUCUGCAGUGGUUCUAUGAUACCAUCAAGAUUCUUAGUGGAUUGCCAACUAGUGGUGAAGUCUCAACUAAUGCCCCGAGAGAGAAUAUAAAAGCUUGAGCUAUGCCCAAACGAUCACACUGUUUUUCAAAGAGUGAGGUGGUGUCCACACCAAAUAAGGAAAUUACAGCCUUUUCAGGCAUUCAAUAUGCUGGAAUGUUACAAUCAUUGCAACUACUGAACAAUUCCAAAAGACCAUGAGAUAUGGUUGCAGCCUUUUAUGUCAUCACAUAUUGUGGCUUAUAGCUCUAGUUCUAGAUUUUUGCUUGACCAUUGUUCUUGCUUUUAGCUCAUGGAAGUUUCUCUGCAUCAUGUAUGACAAGUUCUUGUUCUUGCGAAAAUAUAUGGCUACUUGAUAACUUUCAUGCGUCACACUACAUAUCUGGAUUUUCAUGUACUCGUAGAAUGUACUUGCUCUCUGCAGAGACAUGGAGCUUGGAGAAGUCUCUAAAUUUU